rnacentral:rRNA from 1 species
CAGUAGCCGCGGGAAAACGAAGGGUGCAAGCGUUACUCGGAAUUACUGGGCGUAAAGCGUGCGUAGGUGGUGGUUUAAGUCCGUUGUGAAAGCCCUGGGCUCAACCUGGGAAUUGCAGUGGAUACUGGGUCACUAGAGUGUGGUAGAGGAUAGUGGAAUUUCCGGUGUAGCAGUGAAAUGCGUAGAGAUCGGAAGGAACAUCUGUGGCGAAGGCGACUGUCUGGGCCAACACUGACACUGAGGCACGAAAGCGUGGGGAGCAAACAGGAUUAGAUACCCCAGUAGUCCCUGUCUCUUAUAC